UAUUUCUGAAAUGGACUGAUGUUUGUUACCUUUUUCAGCCAGAUCAAAUACAUCAACAGUUCUCAUGAUAACUUGGAUAGUACUACCUGUCCUGUUGGUCAUGCUUGUCAUUAUCAUUUAUGUUAACAGGGGAAAACUACUAAAAGAAGUGACAAAGUGGGCAAAUAGAAUACAGAAUGCCCACCCUGACCCCCACAAUGACUUGUACACAGCCCUCGACAUGGAGAACAGGACUUCUGAAUACGAGAC